AGCCCAGCAACUCCUAUCCCUACCUCCUCGCGGUACUGGCCGGGGUACGAGUAACCUUAGGGAAGAUCGGGUAACCAACCCCCGGUGGGAACUUUGGUCGUAUGCUGACAGGAAAGG
rnacentral:ribozyme from 1 species